rnacentral:rRNA from 1 species
UUGCUCCUUUGACGUUAGCGGCGGACGGGUGAGUAACACGUGGGUAACCUACCUAUAAGACUGGAAUAACUCCGGGAAACCGGGGCUAAUGCCGGAUAACAUUUAGAACCGCAUGGUUCUAAAGUGAAAGAUGGUUUUGCUAUCACUUAUAGAUGGACCCGCGCCGUAUUAGCUAGUUGGUAAGGUAACGGCUUACCAAGGCAACGAUACGUAGCCGACCUGAGAGGGUGAUCGGCCACACUGGAACUGAGACACGGUCCAGACUCCUACGGGAGGCAGCAGUAGGGAAUCUUCCGCAAUGGGCGAAAGCCUGACGGAGCAACGCCGCGUGAGUGAUGAAGGUCUUCGGAUCGUAAAACUCUGUUAUUAGGGAAGAACAAAUGUGUAAGUAACUGUGCACGUCUUGACGGUACCUAAUCAGAAAGCCACGGCUAACUACGUGCCAGCAGCCGCGGUAAUACGUAGGUGGCAAGCGUUAUCCGGAAUUAUUGGGCGUAAAGCGCGCGUAGGCGGUUUCUUAAGUCUGAUGUGAAAGCCCACGGCUCAACCGUGGAGGGUCAUUGGAAACUGGGAAACUUGAGUGCAGAAGAGGAAAGUGGAAUUCCAUGUGUAGCGGUGAAAUGCGCAGAGAUAUGGAGGAACACCAGUGGCGAAGGCGACUUUCUGGUCUGUAACUGACGCUGAUGUGCGAAAGCGUGGGGAUCAAACAGGAUUAGAUACCCUGGUAGUCCACGCCGUAAACGAUGAGUGCUAAGUGUUAGGGGGUUUCCGCCCCUUAGUGCUGCAGCUAACGCAUUAAG